GUUUGCAGUAGUCAUGGCUGGAAGGCAUCCAAGCUUUUGUCAAAUUAACGUCAGAUUUUACUUUUCGUAGCAGGUUAUGAUAAUUAUGUUAAGAUUAGGAACAUGGUAAGGGUUAGCAAAAAUGUUAAUAAUAUAUACUUUUGACGUUAAUUUGACAAAUACUGGAUUAUAUAUAGCAAGGCCUGCUUGCAGUCUCAUCCAUGUGAGGCGUCAUCCGCGGUCCAACAAAGUAGGCCCUACCGUGUAAUUCUGAAGAUAUCCAUCAGAUGGCAAUGCAGCUUUAGCUAUUGGAAAGGAACGCUGCCACUACCUCGCUCUCCAACCAAGAGAGGGAGAGAGAGAGAGGAUAGUUACACCUGCUUGGCCUAUCAUUUUAAAGCCCUGUGCUGGGCUCCAGAGGGGCGCGCCACCGGGGUGGAGCCACUGCUGAAGUUCACCUGAUACAACUUUGAUCUUCACCAGCGGGGGUGGAGAUGAUUUUAUUUAAGGUGUCUCAGCAUCUCCGUGGCAUUGCGCUGUGUGAGGUUUAGUGGCUGCCCUUGUGCCCGCCGUCUGGGCCUGAGGUGGGGGUGUGGGAGGAUCGAUAGCAUGGCAGCUCCACUGUCAGACAGAGGUGAAGUUAAGCCAGGACAGAGAGAAGGGGAGAGAUAGAAGAGGCUCCUAAAGAUAUCUGAUGAGGCAAGACCCUGCAUGGGAUUGGAGAGGAUGACUUUCAAAGGUUGACAUUUAACAGUUGUAGACGUAAUGAUGAAUACAGGAGAUGGAAUAAGCUAAUGGAAAAUGACAUCGUCAUGGUUCAUAUUUUGAAGUAAGCUAUGUUAAUCCACAGUGUUGUGGAAAAUAUUGAUAAAAAAUAAAUACUGAGCAAUACUGAGC
ensembl:lncRNA